AUUGAACGCUGGCGGCAGGCCUAACACAUGCAAGUCGAGCGGUGCGGCGGACGGGUGAGUAAUGCCUAUGAAUCUGCCUGGUAGUGGGGGAUAACGUCCGCAAAUGGGCGCUAAUACCGCAUACUAUUAGAUGAGCCUAGGUCGGAUUAGCUUGUUGGUGGGGUAAAGGCCUACCCAGGCGACGAUCCGUGACUGGUCUGCGAGGAUGAUCAGUCACACUGGAACUGAGACACGGUCCAGACUCCUACGGGAGGCAGCAGUGGGGAAUAUUGGACAAUGGGCGAAAGCCUGAUACAGCCAUGCCGCGUGUGUGAAGAAGGUCUUCGGAUUGUAAAGCACUUUAAGUUGGGAGGCGUUACCAACAGAAUAAACACCGGCGAACUUCGUGCCAGCAGCCGCGGUAAUUC
rnacentral:rRNA from 1 species